GCUCGUGUGGUCCAAUUGGUUAAGAUACCCUUCGUACUCCUCUAUCGACGACAUCGGGGGGGUGACGGGGGUUCAAUCCCCUCCAUGAGCA